rnacentral:rRNA from 1 species
UAUGCCUACGGGAGGAGCAGUGAGGAAUAUUGGUCAAUGGGCGGUAGCCUGAACCAGCCAAGUAGCGUGAAGGAUGAAGGUUCUAUGGAUUGUAAACUUCUUUUAUAAAGGAAUAAAGUGAGGCACGUGUGCCUUUUUGUAUGUACUUUAUGAAUAAGGAUCGGCUAACUCCGUGCCAGCAGCCGCGGUAAUACGGAGGAUCCGAGCGUUAUCCGGAUUUAUUGGGGUUAAAGGGAGCGUAGAUGGGUUGGUAAGUCAGUUGGGAAAGUUGGCGGCGCAACCG